GACGAACGCUGGCGGCGUGCCUAAUACAUGCAAGUAGAACGCUGAAGAGAGGAGCUUGCUCUUCUUGGAUGAGUUGCGAACGGGUGAGUAACGCGUAGGUAACCUGCCUUGUAGCGGGGGAUAACUAUUGGAAACGAUAGCUAAUACCGCAUAACAAUGGAUGACACAUGUCAUUUAUUUGAAAGGGGCAAUUGCUCCACUACAAGAUGGACCUGCGUUGUAUUAGCUAGUAGGUGAGGUAACGGCUCACCUAGGCGACGAUACAUAGCCGACCUGAGAGGGUGAUCGGCCACACUGGGACUGAGACACGGCCCAGACUCCUACGGGAGGCAGCAGUAGGGAAUCUUCGGCAAUGAGGGCAACCCUGACCGAGCAACGCCGCGUGAGUGAAGAAGGUUUUCGGAUCGUAAAGCUCUGUUGUAAGUAAAGAACGAGUGUGAGAGUGGAAAGUUCACACUGUGACGGUAGCUUACCAGAAAGGGACGGCUAACUACGUGC
rnacentral:rRNA from 1 species